rnacentral:lncRNA from 1 species
AUGAUUUCUUUGAAGAUAUAACAACAUAAAUCACUAUUCAAUGGCCCUCUGAUAAUUAACUUCAGAAAAAUAUAAAGCCAGGAAAUAUAAGGCUGCCAGAAGUAUUUUCUACUCUGAUGGAGGAGAUCAGACACAGUGUCCAGGACUUCGCACAGUGCCUGGAGUGGGGCAGCUUCCUAGUCAUCGCUUGUUGGCUUGGAUCAAGAAAGGCCUCCUGAAUGUGUGGAUACUGUUUUCUUGGGAUGGAAUGGUGCUGCCCUUCUGGACAACAAGGGUGAAAUGUGGUCAAAUGGAGAUCUGGAGUGACCAGCAAACAACAGGGAAGGGGCUGAAUCUGGGAUUACCAUUUUUUUGCCUCUGUUUCCAUUCGUUCAAGCCCUUAG